AAAACAUCCAAACAAUCUGGCGGUGACAUGGAGAAAGGAAAGGAAAGGGAAAAAGAAGCUAGAUAAUAUGCAGCCUGAAGGAUGCUUCUGAGCCAUGAUCACAGUCCACAGUCACUUAUUCAUAGGGUGACCAGAAAGUUUGCCUUCCAAACUGGAAUACAUCUGAAAGUAGAGGCAUCUCUGCAAGAAGGAUGCUUCCUUUGAAAGCUCAGGGCAUGAGAAUGGGGUAUGGAGCGGGAAAACGCAUCUGAGUCAGGGCAGUGGAAGGAUGUAUCUGCCUCUACCAUCAGACUUUUGCUUCAGGGCUUAUGGAAGAUGUGAUUGAUGACAUCCAAAUUUACACUUGAGAUCUUCUGAUGAAGAUCUUCUGCUCCAAGGAUCAAACUUAACUACUCAGCCAACUGUUGUCAACGUUUGAUUAUAUGCACUUCUUUCUCUCUAUGCUCUGUGUGAAAAAGUUCACGUGGCAGUAUUGGCAGAGGGAGGCUUGUAUCAUCUUCCCUAAGUGCUUCAGAGGUUAACUCUGAAAUGUCAGGAGCACUGUGGGCAAAUUGCAGAAGCCAGAGAGGGCCUCCAUCAGCAUCCAAGAUCUGUGCCAGCGGUUUUCUGAAGAGGCACUGGGGUUUGCAGGUGGAACACGGAAUCACCUGGGAGCUUCCUCAGACUACACUUGCCAGUUCCUUCCCCCAAACCCAAAGAGAUGGAUCUCGCCUCACCACCAGCCUGUUUAAAAUCACUGAUCUGGGUUGUUAGGAAAGAGCUUCAUUAAACUUAAAUUUAGCAUGUGAGGCUGUGGAUAACCCCAUCUCUGUUUCGGAGAAACAACUGUUUACUAUUCUAACACUCUGGAAACCUGGCAAGCCGCUAUGGGAGGGCUGGCAACCCUGAGCUCCCGAGGCUUCUGUGCAGCUGCUCUGUAAGGGACCCCUGCCCCAAGGGCUCCCACCUGCCCAACUUGGUGUUCAAAUUAGGAGGGGGUACAUGACCAAGAACUUUGCAGGACCCAGAAGGGCAGCCGGAACCUAUUUUUGAUGAUCCUGAGGAUUAUUAAGAAAGGAAAUUCCACAAAGUCCUUGUAACUCUCAGAAAGGAUUUUGUUCCACUGCUUGCUUUCUUUGUCUUCCAAUUCUAUUUCUGGAUUUCCCUCUUUACGUUUCUAGGUCUGGAACUGAAUAGCAAUGAAGUAAAAGUGAUCAUCCUAAAGAGAUAUUCCUGGAAACAUCUGUUGCAGGAAAAGCCUUCUGGUUAGAUCCUCAUCUUCUAAAUCACACGCACGGUACGUGACCCUGGGUGUUGGGAGUAGGGACACUGGACUGUAGAGGCGAAACAGCCCCAGGAUCCACAAGUGACGUGAUAAACAAGCCGCGUGAUCUCGGCAGCUAAAAUGAGACUCCAGACGCCGGAGGGAAUGGAAAGUGAUGACGCCAGACACCCGAACAGCAUCGUAACCUCAGAGGAUGUUCACAGCCAGGACUCUGUAAGCUGAAUGGACUGGAACUAAAUGCGUAAGACAGCCUUGUGGACAGAGAAUGUAAUGACGUUGCCUUUUAUUUCCUGUUUGAAGUGUCCUGUCGAGCGAGCCUACUCAUUACUGAGAAGGCAACUGGAUCCCAUGAUGGGGAAAGGAGAAGCCACGGUGCCUUUUAAGUGCUGGGACUGGAAGUCCCAGAAUGUCACUUCUGCCACAUCUGCCAAUAUUCGAAGAGGCUGGAGAUGCUGAAAAUACAAAAUAGUUUUAUUUUCCAACCCAACAAGCUGGGAAAUAUCUCCUCUAACUUUUGCUUGAAAAGAAGACAGGUUUUUUUGUUUGCUUGUUUGUUUUCCUUUUUUGGCCAUGCUGUCUGGCAUAUAGGAUCUUAGUUCCUUGACUAAUCCAACCUGCAUCCCCUGCAGUGGAAUCAUGGAGUCUUAAC